CUACCAUGGGGGAAGAAGGCGGCGGCCGCAGCUGUGGGAGCACUAGGGAGCUGCAGAAGCUGAAGCAGCAGGCGAUGGAGUAUUACCGCGAGAACGACGUUCCGCGCAGGCUGGAAGAACUGCUCAACUCCACCUUCUACCUCCAGCCUGCCGACGUCUACGGGCACCUGAACAUAUGUUCUGUGGUGAUCGCAACUCACUUUGAAGCCCACGAGAACGCUUCACCUGAGCUCGUUGAAGCCGAGGAAGUGGAAAGGUUGGAUGCUGUCAGCACCGCAGUGCAGUGGGUCAACGAAACUCUCACUGAGGAGCUCCAGGGCCUAGUGCCCUCCAGCCAGGCUGAGGUGGAUCAGGUGCUCAGGACAUUCUUUGAAAAUAAAGUACAAGAAGAUAAGGAGAGAAAAGAAUUGGAAAAGAACCUAGAAGACUCAACAGUGCUUUCACCCCAGCCGCCGCCGCCACCACCUCCUCCUCCACCUCCAUCCAAGAAAAAAGGACAAAAGCAAGGAAGGAUGGAGACUUCUGCAGAAAAACCAAUCAUACCUGCAGAACCCCCUGAGCCUGUCCUCUGUGGCAGCAUGGCCAUAGGGGCUGUGUCACUGGCUGUUGCCAAAGCCAGUGCUGUACUGGACAAUAAUCCUCUCUACCUGAACAUUGCAUUACUGAAGCACCACCAGGAACAGCCAGAAAAGCUAACUAUACCUCUUCUGAUGGUGUCGCUGGUCAGCUGUGGGAAGUCAUCACCUGGGAAGCUGAAUUUGAUGAAAGAAGUGAUCUGUAUACCCCAUCCUGGAUUAACAGCUAAACAAGGUGUAGAGAUGCUUCUGGAAAUUCAGAAACACAUCAACAAAGCAAUUGAAAUGUCCCCUCCUCCAAAGCCAGAGACAAAAAAAAGUCACGAUGGAGGCAAAAGAGGCCAACAGCAGAUCACCGGCAAGAUGUCCCAUCUUGGCUGUUUAACCAUUAAUUACGACACUAUAGAGCAGCCACUGCUCCUCAUACAAGGAAUCUGUGCAAACCUGGGGCUAGAAUUGGGAACGAACCUGCAUCUAGCCAUCAACUGUGCCGCACAUGAGCUGAUGGACUACAGUAAAGGAAAGUAUGAAGUGAUGAUGGGGACCUACAAAAAUGCAGCUGAGAUGGUUGACCUGUAUGUGGAUCUGAUCAACAAGUUCCCUUCAAUUAUUGCGUUAAUUGAUCCUUUCAGGAAGGAGGACUCUGAACAGUGGGACAGCAUCUAUAAUGCUCUUGGUUCCAGGUGUUACAUAAUUGCAGGCACCGCGUCCAAAAGCAUCUCUAAACUGCUAGAGGAGGGCAACAUCAGCAUCCUCAAAUACAGCGGGCUGAUCAUAAAACACAUAAACCAAACUACGAUGUCGGACUUGGUGGAAAUAACCAAUCUCAUUGACGGUAAGAAGCUCAUCGCUGUCUUUGGAAGCACAGAAGGAGAAUCGUCUGAUGACAGCCUUGUCGAUUUGGCUGUUGGACUUGGUGUCCGGUUUAUCAAGUUGGGAGGUCUUUCUCGUGGCGAACGGGUGACCAAGUACAACCGCCUCUUUACUAUAGAGGAAGAACUUGGCCAGAAUGGAACACUGGGCUUCAAUGAAGAACACACAUUUUUCUCCUGGAAUGAGGAAGCUGAAGAGGCUGGUGAGCUGCAUGAGGUCCCUGAGCCCAUCUUCCCCACAGAAGUUGCGGAGGAUCUCGCCAAACUUUGAGCAUCUUCCCACUGGGGUUGCACGCACCCCAGCUGACAGCCACACCACUCAGACUAUUAGAUUUAUAGACCUGGGGGAUAUCUUCAUUUUGCUUUUGCUCCAAAAACUUCACUAACUUGUGUGCUUUUUCUUCCUUUACGUUUAUUGUUUGGUGAAAGACGGAGAUAGUAUUUUGCCUGAAAUUAUACCUGUGAACCUGUCUUCCAGCCGUCACAUUUCUGUGGGGAUCCUGUUUGUACCUGUUCAUGCUCUGAUUCAUGGAAAAAUUCUUGCACAUGUUUGUGUAUGUCCAUUUGAGGGGGAGGGGUCAUGACCCAGUAGAACAGUCCAAUAUUUUGGCCACCAACUCCACACUCAGUUCAAACACCCCAUACUUUACUACUCAGAACAUCUCUAAAAACAAACAUCUUUUACACUAGGAGCUUUCUCUGCCAGGAAAAGGUAUACAUCUUCUCUUUUUAUCUUAAAUAUCCAUGCUAGAAAGCACACACACAGUUUUAUAGCCAACCUUGUGCAAAACUGAGUUUCACAUAUUGUUUUAAGAGCCAAACAGCUUCCUCUAACUUUCCUACCCUCAAAUCCCUUUUCUCUGAUUCCCACCUCUUUCUAAAUUUUAAUUUUUCAUCUAUCAUUUAUAUCUCUGGGGAAUCUCCUUAGAGCCUUUUUGGAAUGAGUAUAAAUGAGAAAAUAAAUGAGUAUAAAUUCAGUAAACACUGAGUUUAUUCAUUUGAUGAAU
rnacentral:misc_RNA from 1 species